AUGGAACAGACCCGGGGACUCCCACUGUACUCUCUUCCAUCCGCCUUACAAGUCUCUCUAGUCGCAGCCUCCGGGACCAUCUCCUUGCCACCUUCAGCAACUAGGACCAGACUGCACCGUCUCUUCACGGUUAGCUCAUACUCUGGAUCAGCCACAACCUGUCAGAUUCGUCAGAAUUAUUCCACUGAAGUGGAAGCUGCUGUGAACCACCUGGUCAACCUGCACCUGCGGGCCUCCUCCACCUGCCUCUUUCUGGGCUUCUUUUUUGAUCAGGAUGACAUGGCUCUGGAGAGGAGAAGCACGAGGGCGCCGAGCAUCUCCUCGAGAUGCAGAACGAUCGCUGGGGCCGUGCACUAUUCCAGGAUGUGCAGAAGCCAUCUCAAGAUGAAUGGGGUAAAACCCAGGAGGCCAUGGAAGCUGCCUUGGCCCUGGAGAAGAACCUGAACCAGGCCCUCUUGGAUCUGCAUGCCCUGGGUUCUGCCCACGCAGACCCUCAUCUCUGUGACUUCUUGGAAAGCCACUUCCUGGAUAAGGAGGUGAAGCUCAUCAAGAAGAUGGGCAACGUCCUGACCAACCUCCAUAGGGUGGCAGGGCCACAACCAGCGCAGACUGGCAUGCCCCAGGGAUCUAUGGGCAAGUAUCUCUUUGAGUGCCUCACUCUCAAGCACAACUAG